rnacentral:hammerhead_ribozyme from 1 species
GUACUGCUGACGAGUCCCAAACAGAACGAAACACCUGUCCAGGAA